UACGGAGGGGGCUAGCGUUGUUCGGAAUUACUGGGCGUAAAGCGCACGUAGGCGGACUGUUAAGUCGGGGGGUGAAAUCCUGGGGCUCAACCUCAGAAUUGCCUCCGAUACUGGCAGUCUCGAGUGCGGGAGAGGUGAGUGGAAUUCCCAGUGUAGAGGUGAAAAUUCGUAGAUAUUGGGAAGAACACCAGUGGCGAAAGGCGGCUCACUGGCUCGUAUCUGACGCUCAGGCGCGAUAGCGUGGGGAUCAAACAGG
rnacentral:rRNA from 1 species